UACGGAGGGGGUUAGCGUUGUUCGGAAUGACUGGGCGUAAAGCGCGCGUAGGCGGAUCAGGAAGUUGGGGGUGAAAUCCCGGGGCUCAACCCCGGAAUGGCCUUCAAAACUCCUGGUCUUGAGUUCGAGAGAGGUGAGUGGAAUUCCGAGUGUAGAGGUGAAAUUCGUAGAUAUUCGGAGGAACACCAGUGGCGAAGGCGGCUCACUGGCUCGAUACUGAUGCUGAGGUGCGAAAGCGUGGGGAGCAAACAGG
rnacentral:rRNA from 1 species